GAUGAACGCUGGCGGCGUGCUUAACACAUGCAAGUCGAACGGGAUCCCAGGAGCUUGCUCCUGGGUGAGAGUGGCGAACGGGUGAGUAAUGCGUGACCGACCUGCCCCAUACACCGGAAUAGCUCCUGGAAACGGGUGGUAAUGCCGAAUGCUCCAGUUGACCGCAUGGUCCUCUGGGAAAGCUUUUGCGGUAUGGGAUGGGGUCGCGUCCUAUCAGCUUGAUGGCGGGGUAACGGCCCACCAUGGCUUCGACGGGUAGCCGGCCUGAGAGGGCGACCGGCCACAUUGGGACUGAGAUACGGCCCAGACUCCUACGGGAGGCAGCAGUGGGGAAUAUUGCACAAUGGGCGCAAGCCUGAUGCAGCGACGCCGCGUGCGGGAUGACGGCCUUCGGGUUGUAAACCGCUUUUGACUGGGAGCAAGCCCU
rnacentral:rRNA from 1 species